rnacentral:snRNA from 1 species
GUGCUCGCUUCGGCAGCACAUAUACUAAAAUUGGAACGAUACAGAGAAGAUUAGCAUGGCCCCUGCACCAGUAUGACAUGCAAAUUCGUGAAUAUUAUGCAGCCAUA